CCUACGGGAGGCAGCAGUGAGGAAUAUUGGUCAAUGGGCGUGAGCCUGAACCAGCCAAGUCGCGUGAGGGAUGACGGUUCUAUGGAUCGUAAACCUCUUUUGUAAGGGAGUAAAAGGCGGGACGUGUCCCGUUUUGUGUGUACCUGAUGAAUAAGGAUCGGCUAACUCCGUGCCAGCAGCCGCGGUAAUACGGAGGAUCCGAGCGUUAUCCGGAUUUAUUGGGUUUAAAGGGUGCGUAGGCGGCAUUGUAAGUCAGCGGUAAAAAUGUGUGGCUCAACCAUAGAAUUGCCGUUGAAACUGGGAGUCUUGAGUAUGUUAGAGGUAGGCGGAAUGCGUGGUGUAGCGGUGAAAUGCUUAGAUAUCACGCAGAACCCCGAUUGCGAAGGCAGCCUACC
rnacentral:rRNA from 1 species